UACGUAGGGCGCGAGCGUUGUCCGGAAUUAUUGGGCGUAAAGAGCUCGUAGGCGGCCUGUUGCGUCCGCUGUGAAAUCCCAGGGCUCAACCCUGGGCGUGCAGUGGAUACGGGCAGGCUGGAGGCAGGCAGGGGAGAACGGAAUUCCCGGUGUAGCGGUGAAAUGCGCAGAUAUCGGGAGGAACACCGGUGGCGAAGGCGGUUCACUGGCUCAUAUCUGACGCUCAGGCGCGACAGCGUGGGGAUCAAACAGG
rnacentral:rRNA from 1 species